rnacentral:tRNA from 1 species
UGGGGGUGUAGCUCAGUUGGUAGAGUGCUUGCCUGGCGUGCAAGAAGCCCUGGGUUCUACCCCCAGCACUUCAU